AUUGAACGCUGGUGGCAGGCCUAACACAUGCAAGUCGAGCGGAUGAAGGGAGCUUGCUCCUGGAUUCAGCGGCGGACGGGUGAGUAAUGCCUAGGAAUCUGCCUGGUAGUGGGGGAUAACGUCCGGAAACGGGCGCUAAUACCGCAUACGUCCUGAGGGAGAAAGUGGGGGAUCUUCGGACCUCACGCUAUCAGAUGAGCCUAGGUCGGAUUAGCUAGUUGGUGGGGUAAAGGCCCACCAAGGCGACGAUCCGUAACUGGUCUGAGAGGAUGAUCAGUCACACUGGAACUGAGACACGGUCCAGACUCCUACGGGAGGCAGCAGUGGGGAAUAUUGGACAAUGGGCGAAAGCCUGAUCCAGCCAUGCCGCGUGUGUGAAGAAGGUCUUCGGAUUGUAAAGCACUUUAAGUUGGGAGGAAGGGCAGUAAGUUAAUACCUUGCUGUUUUGACGUUACCAACAGAAUAAGCACCGGCUAACUUCGUG
rnacentral:rRNA from 1 species